GGGCCCGCACAAGCGGUGGAGUAUGUGGUUUAAUUCGAUGCAACGCGAAGAACCUUACCAGGGUUUGACAUCCUGCGAAUCUCUUGGAAACAGGAGAGUGCCUUCGGGAACGCAGUGACAGGUGCUGCAUGGCUGUCGUCAGCUCGUGUCGUGAGAUGUUCGGUUAAGUCCGGCAACGAGCGCAACCCACAUCCCUAGUUGCCAGCAGUUCGGCUGGGCACUCUAUGGAAACUGCCCGUGAUAAGCGGGAGGAAGGUGUGGAUGACGUCAAGUCCUCAUGGCCCUUACGGGUUGGGCUACACACGUGCUACAAUGGUAGUGACAAUGGGUUAAAUCCCCAAAAACUAUCUCAGUUCGGAUUGUCGUCUGCAACUCGACGGCAUGAAGUCGGAAUCGCUAGUAAUCGCGUAAC
rnacentral:rRNA from 1 species